GCCAGAGGCGAUAGCACGUUGAAUUCACCAGUUCCCUAAGGAUCACUGACGUCAAGCAACGAUGCGCGUGGUUAGUAUCCGUAUGAGUGACUAUCUAGGAAUUCUAGACAAUCGCGUGGU
rnacentral:rRNA from 1 species